AAUGGUUAUUAAUAUGUAAUUUGUGAGAAACUUUUGCGGUAUAGUUUUACUGCUAAAAUAAUAAAAAUUAUAUAGCAAUGUUUGUGAUGUUUCACAUCAUAUUCUUUAGUUGCUAUUAUAAUUUUAUGUAGACAAAAUAUCUAUUUUGAUUUUUUUUGUCUGCAUAUGCAUCAUUUAGAAAAUUCAAUUAUAUGAAAAGUUAUGUGAAAGUUAUAUGAAAAAGUCAAUAUAAUCUAAUUAUAUUUUGGCUCAUAAAUAUGAUAUUAGUUCUUGUAUGUUUGAUGAAAUUUUUGGUUAACAUAUUUGAAGGAAGGAUGGAAUCAAUUUCCUAAAUUUUUCAUAUACCCUGAAAUUUUUAGAUUUAUUUUCAAAAAACCUUUUGUCCCUUUCUCUUAACCCUUAAAUGCGCAAUUUUUCGUAGCAUUUUAGUACACAGAACAUCAAAAAGUCGCUUUGCAUAUAUGCAAAGCUGCACAUUUAAGGGUCAAAACUUGUAUAUUGUUGUGUAUAAUGCAUUAUUUAUACUUGUUUUAUGGAUUGCUAUAAAAAAGAUACAAUUUUUGAUGGAGUGACAUUUCUGAACAUUUACCAUUACAUUUCAGUGUAACAUGGAGACAUUUUGCGGUAGACAAAAGGGAACCUUCAUUUAUAUACAUAAUGGAUAUACAUACAAUAUUGAUAAGCGGAUGAAAAACACAUAUCGAUGUUCAAGCCGCCGUUCAACAGGAUGUCCUGGCGUUGCAAAAGUAAUUGAUGGGCAAGUGCAUGUACAAACUCUACAUCAACAUCCACCAGAUACUAGAAGGUUGGAAAAGUCUAAAAUGCAAAGUGAAAUGUUACGUUUAUCAAGAGAAUCGCUUCUACCACUAAAAGAAAUUUUUGAUAAUGUUUGUCGAACAAAUCCAGAAGUAGCUGCAAAUAUAUCGUAUAGUUCUAUAAAAAGUGUAAUGGCUCGAGAAUGAACAAAGAUCUCCUAUAUCACAUACCUUUCAAGCCUUGGCUACUGAUUUAAUUAAAUACGAGUGGAUUAAAGAUUUUUAUAAAGGAAGUGUAGUUGCACAGGAUGGUAACAUGGCUGUUAUAUUUUCGAGUGAAAAACUUAUUAAUGCCUUGAAAACAACCACAGAAAUUUUUGUCGGUGGGACAUUUUCUGUUGUUCCUCGCAAUCCACACAUGAUUCAAUUAUAUACUGUUCACAUACGUUAUAAAAAUACAGGUAUUGCUGUUGUCUUUAUAUUAUGUGAGACACGAACAGUUGCUCUUUAUCAGGCAAUAUGGGAGAAAAUAAUUGAAAUUGCUCCAGAUUUGAAAAAUAAUGUCAGAUUUAUAAUGGGGGAUUAUGAACGCGCAACAAAUAAUGCCCUUCAUAAAUGUUUCCCCGAAACCAGUUUAAAAGGAUGCUGGUUUCACUACAACCAAGCUGUGUUGCGCAAGUGGCGACAACUUGGUUUAAAAAAUGCCCCAAGAAAAUUAAUAGCAAUGGUUAUGUCUGUACCAUUAAUACCAGUCACUUUAUUUGAGCAAUGUUUCACAAUAUUACAAUAUAUAGCUGAUACCAUGUCUAGUGACUAUCCUAUGGUAUUACAAUUUAUGUCCUAUUUACGUAAAACAUGAUUGCCCGCAGCAAAUAAGGUCUCUGUGUAUGGCUGUCCUGUUCGUACAAAUAAUAUAGUUGAGAGUUUUCACAACACAAUUUCAAAGAAAUUUGGGAGUAGACAUCCAAAUGUGUGGAUAUUUAUUGGAUGGUAUUUUAUCUUAUAACAGUAGUAUGUAAUACACAUAUAUUUAUUGAAAAUUUGAAAAAAGUAAUUAUUGAUCAGGCAAUUGAUCUUAGUCGCUUACAGAAUAAUCUUCAGGCACGUAGAACUCAAACUCGAGCCAAUAGAGAAAGAAAUAAUAUAAUAUUACAGAAACAAAAGGAUCUUGUAGAACAUAAGUAACGGAUCAGUUAUAAAAUAAAACUAAGCUUGUGAAAAAAAUUAUUUUCUAUAUAUAAUUGUGUGUUAAUGUUAAUAUCUAGAAAUAAAUAUUUAUUUUUUACAGAUUACCACUUAAUGAAUUUUUAGACUCAUUUAGUCGCUUUUAUGAAACCUACUUAUAUAAUAUGGACAUAAUCGAUGAAGAGAUUAUAACCCAUGAAAACAAUGAUUAUGAAGUUUGUACCAAUUUUCUAUCAGAAAAUUUUAAUUCUAUGUCGGAGGAAACUCUGAGAAUUGCUAGCUGUAACAUAAAUACAAACACUGCAGGAGAUUCACCUACAUUAACGCAAAGACAAGAUUCUGUUGAAAAUGAGCGAUUAUUCUCGCAAAUCCUAAGAAAUAGAUAUCCUGCUGCGCAAGAAGAACUAUUCAUCCGAAAAUGCAACUAGUACGGAUAUUAUAAUAGAUAUCGACGGUGCAGAAUUUACUUCAGCUAGUCCAGUCACAAUGGGUGAUGCACAUAAUCAAAAUACAAAUACCAUUCCCAAUUUACCACGAUUUGAUAACGAUGAAUUUGAUGAUGAACACAUUUAUACCAUUCCAGAAGAUGACUUUGGAUAUUGGUACGAAGAUCAGGAAAAUAUUGUAGAAAGUGACAUCCCGUAUCACGAAGUUAAAAGACUUUCUCUGGAAACAUGCAAAGAAAAUCAAGGAGCAGUAAGAUCUGAUCGUACGUGCACUGCUUGCAUUAAUGCUGAAUCGAAUCAAAUUUUCAUACCAUGCGGUCACAUCUGUUGUUGUGAAGAUUGUGCUAAUCAUAUUAUGCGAGAGAGCGAUAAUGUUAAAAAAUGUCCAAUUUGCAAAGGAGAAGUUUCGUCGGUCUAUAAAGUAUAUAUACCAUAAAUAAGUGUUUGCACCUUAUUCUAAAUAUAAGAAUGUUUAGGAUUGUGGUCUGCAACUUUUUUAAUACACAGUCUGAGACAUUUGUCGAUCAUACUUUGAAAGAUAACCGUUGAUUCGUU